rnacentral:lncRNA from 1 species
UGUUAAUUGGUAUUUAUCUCAUUUCUUUUUUUACAAAUUAAUUUUUGAUUUUGUAACUAAAAUAUUUUGUCGACCUCACCGAUAUCGGGCGGUCAAAAGGGUACAACCUUUUUAUAUCGCACCACCCCGUCAGGGUCGGCAUCCUACGGCCUGGGGGCCCCAUAGGCCUGGUGGGCUCCGGCUGGACUUCCUUUGCUACGGGCUGUACAGGGGAUAUGUUUUCUGUAUAAGAAGCGGCUUCCACUGUACGAUUUCGUCGCGCAAAACGGAUUCGUACAGCCGAUAUCCUAGCCAGGGCCCGUGUACGGACAGCCAAUUCACGGAACGGAUGGAACAGAUCUGCAUCCUACUUUUUGCUGGAUACGAACCGUUACCGAUUGAGGUGGCCGAUUCCGUAACCAAUAAGAAACUACUCGGCGGUAAAUCAGAGCUGGGUAAAAGGUAGCGGUAAACUAUGAAAUGCUAAUAAAUUUGAUUGGUCUCGAUGAUAAAACCCGAAAAGACUAUCGCGUCAAAAUAUUAAAAAACAAUAUAAUACUGGGGAUAAAAUAACCGACCAACUUAAAGCCGAUGGUAAGUUAGUAAGCGGAAUUCAGCAGCAGUUAAUCGAAUUUGUCUCGCACUCUCGUUUUAUAAAAUUGUUAUUUAGUGGAAAAAAUUAAAGGAAGAUGUUGAGCGAUUCUUACCCAAGAAUGGCGACGAUUAUCUUAAAAUGAAUGUAUUUUUAAAAAAUAUUCUUUAUUGGCUUUUUCGAUAUGAUCUUUACAAAAGUUUCGGGUCCGUGAUGCGGCCAAUGUCAGCGAUUUAAUAUUUUUUUCCAUUGUACCAUUCAAAUGAUACAAUGGAAAUCGUGCCUAAAGGGGAACGUGUUAUACUGCGAUCAACUAUAUUUAUUUCAGAUGCGCCGAUUAUUUUUAAUUAUACUUUUUAAAUUUUUAUCCACUGUCUGGCGCAGCUGGGUUUUGGGCUCUGGCCUCAAAAAUCCUAAUUGGUAUACCCUUUUAUUUUAUUCUGGAACGGCCCAGUCCCACCGACAUAUCUGUUGUACUUGUAAGAAAUACCCUAAUUACCAAUAAUAUUAACGUAAUUAUGUUAUUAAAACCACAAAUUGCGAUUAUUGGAAGAUUUACUGGAUUAAAGCAGGAUGGGCGCGGAAAGUAUUUUUUCUUCUCGAUCUGCCGGAGUAAACUUUGGAUACAAAGUAGCCGUGACCAGUUUUAUUCCGGCUGUAAUUGCUACUGGUUAAAAUUGAAAGGUAGCCGCCUGCUGGUUAACCAGGUCUUUUUUUAUCUUACUGUAUAAUGCAUUGGCUAAAUGCAAAUAUCAAAAGCGAUAGGCUUUUUGAAUGAUUUGUAUGUGGAAAAUUUUUAAAAUGUUUCGGAAAAUAUCUGAGAAGUUGAUGUAGAUUUAGUCGUUCUUUCUGUCGACAUCCCUUUCUUUAUUAGCAUCGUUUACCUCCGUGUACUGUUUAUCAUCGGUGUUAUUUAUUGUAAUAAUUAGUAUUAGCACUUAUUCUCCAUUUUUCAAAAAUUUCCUGUCAGCCAAUACUUCGGAUGAAAGCCGAGAAGUUAAUUACUUUAAAUCAAUCGUUCCAGUCGUAUGUGGAAUAAAUAAAUACUAGAACAUAGUCUGCAUCUACCACCUUCCAAAUGGAUGAUGGAGACAACCUAAUUGUUAAAAAUUAAUACUAUUUUUUACCAAGAGGAAGGUGAGUUUUGAAUCGGUCUUCUACUUUCUCGUUAUCGAUAAUAGAUCGCUUCCUUUAAUUUUAUAGGACUGGGAUGGUUUUGUAUUUUUGUCUCCAAAAGAUGUCCUAUCUCUUUUCCUGGGGUGAAAAGAGGCGGACAUGAUUAAAGUAAAAAAUAUUUGAAAGAUCAGUUUGGUCGUAUUUUUGUAAAACUAAAUUAUAGUUUUUGCCAUCUACUUAGGUUAAUUUAAUUUGUUGCGCCUAGGAUUAGGAAUACAACGGCUAAGCUUCUAUUAAUGCCACCCGAUGAAAUAUGCUUUCCAUUUAUAUUAUCAGGUAGAGACCAGACCGUGCAACUGAUACGCUAAGUCGUACAAAACUUCAGUUUGUUUCACUAACUCCAUCAAUUUUUCGUCCUCCGUUAUCAAAUACAAUAAAACAUCGAAACAGACCGAGCCCAAAAUAGGUUUUACGUUCUAAAACGCGUGUACACCGAGUACGUAACAAACGAUAAUUGAAAGAAAACACGAGAAAAUAUAGUUGGAGACGUGAGUUGGACUAGACUGGCUGAUACAACGGACUAACUGGUGUCGAUAGAAACAGUUCCAUUGGUAAAACGUCGAUCAAAUUUUCCUCAAUAUUGAGAUGACGCUCUUCACGCUACUGUAUAAAUAGACUCUUAAUCGAUUUUUUACAAAUAUCGAAGUACCGAUAUUUUCGUACCCC